rnacentral:tRNA from 1 species
GUUAAUGUAGCUUAACACCUAAAGCAAGGCACUGAAAAUGCCUGGAUGAGUAUCACAAUACUCCAUAAACA